rnacentral:rRNA from 1 species
UACGUAGGGUCCGAGCGUUGUCCGGAAUUACUGGGCGUAAAGAGCUCGUAGGUGGUUUGUCGCGUUGUUCGUGAAAACUCACAGCUCAACUGUGGGCGUGCGGGCGAUACGGGCAGACUAGAGUACUGCAGGGGAGACUGGAAUUCCUGGUGUAGCGGUGGAAUGCGCAGAUAACAGGAGGAACACCGGUGGCGAAGGCGGGUCUCUGGGCAGUAACUGACGCUGAGGAGCGAAAGCGUGGGGAGCGAACAGG